rnacentral:rRNA from 1 species
GACGAACGCUGGCGGCGUGCCUAAUACAUGCAAGUUGAGCGAUGAAGCUUUGUGCUUUCACCCUUUUGAAUAGCAGCUAACGGGUGAGUAACGCGUGGAGAAUCUUCCUUUUUUUGGUGGACAACAUUUUGAAACGAAUUCUACUACCACCUAAUACCUUUUAACAUAAAUUUUAAGUUUUAAAGAUGCAAUUGCCUCUCUCAUAGAUGAUCCUGCGUUUGAUUAGUUGGUUGGUGAGGUAAAGGCUCACCCAAGGGGUGAUACAUAGCCGACCUGAGGGGGAUGUCGAGCAAAAUGGGAAUGAGACAAGGGCCAAACUCCUACGGGAAGCAGCAGUAGGGAAUUAUCGGACAUGGACGAAAGUCUGAACGAGCAAAGACGGGGGAGUGAAGAAGGGUUUCGGAUCGUAAAACUCUGUUGGUAGAGAAGAAAGAGGGGGAGAGUGGAAAGCUCAUGAAGUGACGGUAACUAAAGAGAAAGGGACGGCUAACUACGUG